rnacentral:lncRNA from 1 species
AAAUGAAACCACGUUUAUUUAACCCAGGAGAUCUGUUACAGGAAUCAUCUCCUGGAUGCACCACACUCAAGUCAAAGCCUAAAAAGCUAAGGGAGCAACCCCUGAAAGCCCAGAGGAAAGUCCUGAAUCUCAAUGUGGAGAAAUAGAAGACCUUAGGCUGAAAAUCAUGAAAGAUAAGUAACUGGGGAAGGGCUGCUCAUCUUACUCAGUCCCACUGCUACCUCACCAGACUUUUUAUUAUUUCUGCCCUUCCCUCUCAAAAUUUGCCACCAAAUAUUAGAACUUCUUUUUAACACAUAUUUGCAGGGAGAAUUUAAUUAUACAUGGGAUUGCAUUUGUAACUUUGUAGCUUCCCAAAGAGAAAUGUUGUCUUGGCAAGUAAAGUUUUAAAUGGAAAUUAUUUACUACGUCACUCUCAUGGGAAUUGUUAUAGUCACGCUACUAUUUGCAAUAGAACUAUACACUAUGACACCCACGAUGUGGAAUUCUGGUUGUAAAAUUCUAAUUGCUGUAAUAUUUUGCCUCAUUAUACUUAGAGCAGGAUAAGUAGUUACAGGAAAGAUUUCGUCAAGGUUGUUUUGCUUACAGCAGGAGUAAUAGUUUUUACUAUCAUUAAGUUUGACGGGACUUUUUACCGAAGGUUGCUAAUGUGAUGCACUCUAAGCUAUGAAAAGGUUAUAGAGAAAGAGAUUUUAUAUAAGGAAGGAUCUUGUUUGGUAAAUUCUUGUCCUAAAAGGAAAUGACCGGUUGUUUAGAGAAAGAAUGUUUAGGACAAGUCAGAAAGUUUAAGUCUGUUGUAAGAGGGUCUGUGAAAGUCAUGAAAAAAUUUAAUAAUUAAAGGAAAGGAAUUGUCAAGAUUAAUGCCAAAGUUAUUUAGCCACCGAAUAAUGUAUCUCUCCCAAUCAUACUGCAAGUUAUAAAAAUUGCCUAAGCCUAAAGUUAUUCUCCAAUGGCAAGUCAAGGGGGAAAUGUAUGCUCUUCUCAAGGAAAAUGUUGCUUUUAUAUUAAUGUUUCUGGUAAUGUACAUAAACAUCUAGUGGAGGCAAACUGGUGUUGCAAUACAUGGGUGUAACUAACAAGAGUCAAAUUACACUGUUAGUUAUAGUCUAUAGGACCCCCACUAACAGUGAUAAUUUUAAUACUCAUAAUCCAACCCUAUAUUUUUAACCUUCUUGUAAAAUUUAUCUCUUUUCACCUAGAAACGAUCAAACUCAAAAUGGUGCUGCAAACAGAGCCCCACAUGGACAAGCCAUUCUUCCAAGUACCCUUAAAUCCACCUCAGGAGAAGACCCAACUGCUGUUCCCCGACAUGACGCCCCUUUUCAUCAGGAAGUAGCCAGAAAUAAUUGUCGUCCAACACCCACUAACAACAGUUAGGUUUACUUCUCUUGAGGGGGGAAUAAUACAGGAGUUAUUAAGAAAUAAUUCUAGGCAGAUAUAGAGGGUAAAAGUUCUUGAUAAGACUUUUUCUUUUAAUAAAAACAGCUCCCGAAACAUUUCUUUUCUAACAGAAAGGCGGUUUGGAAAGCCAGGCUGGCAAGUAUUAACAUGCUAAUGCUGGUGAUUAGAAACUAGGUCUAACCAACAUGGCCAGCUUGGUGAUUCUCACCCUUUUCUUGUCAGCACGUGUGCCAGGCAUCAUGGCCACCCCUAGCUAUCUCCACGGGUGCAGGACAUCUGGUGGCCUGCAUUUGCAUAUUAAGAGCCUGGGGUGGGAGGGUCAGGUUUUUCUGGGCUAUGUGAAAUACACACCUGGUCAAACCAAUCCACUGGGCCGUAUGCAAAUCAGACACUGCUUUCUCCAGCUUCCCAAUAUUACCGACCACUUUUUCGCAGCAGCACACAGGGUUUCUCUCUUGGGAACCCCGCUCCCUCUAUCUCUGUAGCGGGGAGCUUUUUUUUCUUCUUUCUUGACUAUUAAA